rnacentral:lncRNA from 1 species
AGCUUGGGGCUGGACCCCAGCCUCCAGCCUCACCUCCUGCCGGCCUCUCUGCUUGCCCUCCCCGCCCCAGAGGGGGGGUGGGAGGCCUUGAGAUUGUCCCCGGUACCCCAAGGACGCCGAGGUUACGGGAAGUUUGGGGACUCGGGCCCCAGUAUCCUGAGUUCUUCCAGGAGAAGGAAGAUGGCGAAGACAGUGAGGGAAGAGAGCAGACGUCUGACUCCGGGGUGCUUAUCUGUGUGGAAGAGACCGGUUCUUCCUGACUGGCUUCAUGUCCCUCAAGGCGGAGACUUCUGUUUAGGUACUGGGCAGCCCUUGUUUGCAUAAUUGUCACCAGUCAGCCUUUGACCUACUGGGAGGUCAGCGUGGUUCUCCUGACCCCCUGGUGUCUCCCUUGCAGGUGUUCUCCUGGCUCUUCAAGUAUUUACCCGUCUGUGUGUGACUCAUAUCCAGGAACCCAGGCAGCUUCCCUCAAUAGAUUGCUGGCUUCAGAAGAUGAGCCUCCCCUGCCGCUCCACAAGGCUCAAGUGCUUCAAUGAAAUAAAAGAGAACUGAAAUAAAAGAGAAAUAAAAGA